rnacentral:SRP_RNA from 1 species
GGUCGGGUCCCAUGCAGUGGGCCCGCCGGACACCGGGUCAGGCUGGAAACAGAGCAGCCCAUUCGGCGUGUUCAGGUGCCGUGGUUUCACCUGACCGUC